AUGAGUAACAGGUCGUAGACCCGAAACCAGGUGAUCUACCCAUGUCCAGGAUGAAGGUGAGGUAAUACUCACUGGAGGUCCGAACCCACGCACGUUGAAAAGUGCGGGGAUGAGGUGUGGGUAGCGGAGAAAUUCCAAUCGAACCUGGAGAUAGCUGGUUCUCUCCGAAAUAGCUUUAGGGCUAGCCUCGAGGUAAAGAGUCGUGGAGGUAGAGCACUGUUUGGACUAGGGGCCCUUCUCGGGUUACCGAAUUCAGAUAAACUCCGAAUGCCAUGUACUUAUACUCGGGAGUCAGACUGCGAGUGAUAAGAUCCGUAGUCGAAAGGGAAACAGCCCAGACCACCAGUUAAGGUCCCAAAAUAUAUGUUAAGUGGAAAAGGAUGUGGGGUUGCAUAGACAACCAGGAUGUUGGCUUAGAAGCAGCCACCAUUGAAAGAGUGCGUAAUAGCUCACUGGUCGAGUGACCCCGCGCCGAAAAUGUACCGGGGCUAAACAUAUUACCGAAACUGUGGAUGAACCUCUUCGGAGGUUCGUGGUAGGAGAGCGUUCUAAGGGCGGUGAAGUCAGACCGGAAGGACUGGUGGAGCGCUUAGAAGUGAGAAUGCCGGUAUGAGUAGCGAAAGAAGGGUGAGAAUCCCUUCCACCGAAUAUCUAAGGUUUCCUGAGGAAGGCUCGUCCGCUCAGGGUUAGUCGGGACCUAAGCUGAGGCCGAUAGGCGUAGGCGAUGGACAACAGGUAGAUAUUCCUGUACCAGUGCUAGUUGUUUGAGCAAUGGGGUGACACAGAAGGAUAGGGAAUCGCACAGAUGGAAACGUGCGUCCAAGCAGUGAGUGUGAGAAGUAGGCAAAUCCGCUUCUCGCGAAGCAUGAGCUGUGAUGGGGAAGGAAAUUAAGUACGGAAGUUCCUGAUUUCACGCUGUCAAGAAAAGCCUCUAGUUAGAUUAGUACUGCCCGUACCGCAAACCGACACAGGUAGAUGAGGAGAGAAUCCUAAGGUGAGCGAGAGAACUCUCGUUAAGGAACUCGGCAAAAUGACCCCGUAACUUCGGGAGAAGGGGUGCUCUAUUAGGGUGAAAGCCCGAGAGAGCCGCAGUGAAUAGGCCCAGGCGACUGUUUAGCAAAAACACAGGUCUCUGCAAAACCGUAAGGUGACGUAUAGGGGCUGACGCCUGCCCGGUGCUGGAAGGUUAAGAGGAGUGCUUAGCGCAAGCGAAGGUACGAAUUGAAGCCCCAGUAAACGGCGGCCGUAACUAUAACGGUCCUAAGGUAGCGAAAUUCCUUGUCGGGUAAGUUCCGACCCGCACGAAAGGCGCAACGAUCUGGGCACUGUCUCAACGAGAGACUCGGUGAAAUUAUAGUACCUGUGAAGAUGCAGGUUACCCGCGACAGGACGGAAAGACCCCGUGGAGCUUUACUGCAACCUGAUAUGGAAUGUUUGUACCGCUUGUACAGGAUAGGUAGGAGCCGAAGAGACGUGAGCGCCAGCUUACGAGGAGGCAAUGGUGGGAUACUACCCUGGCUGUAUGACCAUUCUAACCCGCCACGCUUAGCGCGUGGGGAGACAGUGUCAGGUGGGCAGUUUGACUGGGGCGGUCGCCUCCUAAAGAGUAACGGAGGCGCCCAAAGGUUCCCUCAGAAUGGAUGGAAAUCAUUCGCAGAGUGUAAAGGCACAAGGGAGCUUGACUGCGAGACUGACAAGUCGAGCAGGGACGAAAGUCGGGCUUAGUGAUCCGGUGGUUCCGCAUGGAAGGGCCAUCGCUCAACGGAUAAAAGCUACCCCGGGGAUAACAGGCUUAUCUCCCCCAAGAGUCCACAUCGACGGGGAGGUUUGGCACCUCGAUGUCGGCUCGUCGCAUCCUGGGGCUGUAGUCGGUCCCAAGGGUUGGGCUGUUCGCCCAUUAAAGCGGCACGCGAGCUGGGUUCAGAACGUCGUGAGACAGUUCGGUCCCUAUCCGUCGCGGGCGCAGGAAAUUUGAGAGGAGCUGUCCUUAGUACGAGAGGACCGGGAUGGACACACCGCUGGUGUACCAGUUGUUCCGCCAGGAGCAUCGCUGGGUAGCUAUGUGUGGCAGGGAUAAACGCUGAAAGCAUCUAAGCGUGAAGCCCCCCUCAAGAUGAGAUUUCCCAUUUCUUUAAGAAAGUAAGAUCCCUGAAAGAAGAUCAGGUAGAUAGGUUUGGAGUGGAAGUAUGGCGACAUAUGGAGCGGACAAAUACUAAUCGAUCGAGGACUUAACCAAU
rnacentral:rRNA from 1 species